UCACAUUAGAGUCCCAAAGCACAGGGAACAGUUCUCGUCUAUCCGUCACCAAGGAGGCAGACGGGACAGGGGGAACAACAAGUCAUUUGUCCCUGAUGAGGAGGACACUCCUGGGAAACAAACAGAUGAGCCACCCCAUGAAUCUGAGCCAUUCUCCGAGGUAAACAGAACUGCAUGAGAAACCACCAGCUAUCUCCAGCAUCGCCCUUACCGCUCACACCGCCCUCUGGCAGCCGGUGGGGGACGUGAAACUGUAGCUUGGACCAAUAUCUGAUUCUGAGAAAGUUAACCCUAGCAAAGGUGAUAUUCUCCUCCCUCCGUCUCCUGCAGUUGAACAACCAUCUAUUUCUAUGACCUUUUGUUUCCAUUUUUACAGAACAGGAUUCCAUGAAGGUCUGAACUCCCCUGCCACAGAACCUGCUUGCUCACUUCCCUUGUGAGGUGGAUGCAAUGUGAAGAGGAGAAAGACUCCAGCUAAUGACUGAACCAUCACCCAGGUACAUAUAAUAAUUGGAGUCAUUGGAUCUUCUCUGAAAUACUGUUAAUCUGACCAAUAGGACCAUCUUCCAGUUUACAGGAAACAGAGGAAUAGAAGAAAAAGUUAAAUCACCACUAUGAAUCAAGGUGGCAUUAUACAGAACCACUGACCUGCUUCUUCUCUACGGUUCACAUUUCAAGUAAACAGACAUAAGACAUUCAAAGCACCUCACCAGGAACUCUCUGAAAUAUACUCUGAAUGACAAGGGGAUGACAGCAAAGGCCCAUCUUCUCCUAACCUUCCUUCCAGGGUCUUUGAGCUGCAAAUAGAGAAGCCUAACCCACUCUCAUGAGCAC